UACGUAGGUGGCAAGCGUUGUCCGGAAUUAUUGGGCGUAAAGCGCGUGUAGGCGGCCCUGCAAGUCGGGUGUGAAAUCCCACGGCUCAACCGUGGAAGUGCACUCGAAACUGCAGGGCUAGAGUCCUGGAGAGGAAGGUGGAAUGCUUGGUGUAAAGGUGAAAUUCGUAGAUAUCAAGCGGAACACCGGUGGCGAAGGCGGCCUUCUGGACAGUGACUGACGCUGAGACGCGAAAGCGUGGGGAGCAAACAGG
rnacentral:rRNA from 1 species